AACGAACGCUGGCGGCAGGCUUAACACAUGCAAGUCGAACGCCCCGCAAGGGGAGUGGCAGAUGGGUGAGUAACGCGUGGGAAUCUACCCAGUUCUACGGAACAACUGAGGGAAACUUCAGCUAAUACCGUAUACGCCCCAAGGGGGAAAGAUUUAUCGGAAUUGGAUGAGCCCGCGUUAGAUUAGCUAGUUGGUGGGGUAACGGCCUACCAAGGCGACGAUCUAUAGCUGGUCUGAGAGGAUGAUCAGCCACACUGGGACUGAGACACGGCCCAGACUCCUACGGAAGGCAGCAGUGGGGAAUAUUGGACAAUGGGCGCAAGCCUGAUCCAGCCAUGCCGCGUGAGUGAUGAAGGCCUUAGGGUUGUAAAGCUCUUUCAGUAGGGACGAUAGUGACGGUACCUACAGAAGAAGCCCCGGCUAACUUCGUGCCAGCCGCCGCCGUAAAAC
rnacentral:rRNA from 1 species